rnacentral:rRNA from 1 species
AACGAACGCUGGCGGCAUGCCUAACACAUGCAAGUCGAACGAGACCUUCGGGUCUAGUGGCGCACGGGUGCGUAACGCGUGGGAACCUGCCUUUAGGUUCGGAAUAACUCAGAGAAAUUUGAGCUAAUACCGGAUAAUGUCUUCGGACCAAAGAUUUAUCGCCUUUAGAUGGGCCCGCGUAAGAUUAGCUAGUUGGUGGGGUAAGGGCCUACCAAGGCGACGAUCUUUAGCUGGUCUGAGAGGAUGAUCAGCCACACUGGGACUGAGACACGGCCCAGACUCCUACGGGAGGCAGCAGUGGGGAAUAUUGGACAAUGGGCGAAAGCCUGAUCCAGCAAUGCCGCGUGAGUGAUGAAGGCCCUAGGGUGUAAAGCUACUUUUACCUAGGGAUGAUAAUGACAG